CCUGGUGGCUCAGAUGGUAAAGCGUCUGCCUACAAUGCGGGAGGCCCGGGUUCAAUCCCUGGGUCAGGA
rnacentral:tRNA from 1 species